rnacentral:rRNA from 1 species
UGGUGGGUUGCCUUGUCAGGUUGAUUCCGGUAACGAACGAGACCUCAGCCUGCUAAAUAGUCACCUGUACCUUGGUACAGGCUUGACUUCUUAGAGGGACUAUUGGCGUUUAGCCAAUGGAAGUGUGAGGCAAUAACA